rnacentral:rRNA from 1 species
UACGAAGGGGGCUAGCGUUGCUCGGAUUUACUGGGCGUAAAGGGCGCGUAGGCGGACAGUUAAGUCGGGGGUGAAAGCCCGGGGCUCAACCUCGGAAUUGCCUUCGAUACUGGCUGUCUUGAGUGUGAGAGAGGUGUGUGGAACUCCGAGUGUAGAGGUGAAAUUCGUAGAUAUUCGGAAGAACACCAGUGGCGAAGGCGACACACUGGCUCACUACUGACGCUGAGGCGCGAAAGCGUGGGGAGCAAACAGG